GGAUGAUGUGUGUGUGAGUGCUCUAACUCUCGUGAGACUCGCCUGUGCGGAGCGUUGCCAUGGUAACAGCCGCGGGUCUUGUGAGAGUUAGAGCUGGAGAGGGAACACAUCGUGUGAUGGCCCCCGUGUGCAGGUAGCAGGGCCGGUCCUGCAGGACAGGUAACGGGAACGGCAUUCCUGCUUUGGAAAAAGUGCAGGAACGCCGUUCCCAAGCGUUCCUGCAGGACUCGAGCCCUGAGUAUACCCUUCUAAAAGCAGAACCAAGCUAACAUCCUUUCAAAAUGCCCAUAUAUUCAGUCUCUGCUGCAAACCUCUUUUUUUUCUUGC